CCGUUCGACUAAGCUCGAAAGUUUCGUCCAGUGAUUUCCUCGGGCGACGCCAUGGCGAUUGGGCGACAGAACUUUUUCGGCGCGUGCUCAAGGGUCUCGGAGGAAAGAGUGAAGCAGCGGAAAAGUUGGAUGAUAGCGAUGGCGGUGGUGGUUGUGUGAGUGAGGAUGUGCCAGAGGAUGAAAUGCAGGACUAUGUAGCGGCGGCAGUCGUGGAAGGAGAAGAGGGUCGCGGUUCUGUCGUACACUAAGAACGAAGAAGAGUUAUCACGAAUACAGCAUCCAAGUACAAAAGGCCCUUACGGCAUGCGCUACUUCAGUCUACUAAUGAACCCAGCUGGGACUGCACUCAAAAAGCACUUUUACUUCUGUCGCUUCUGUCUGCCGAUGACAAUGUCGACGUCCUUGCUUCCUGGGGAUUCAUUUCGAAACAUCGAAUGUUACCCUGUUGAUGCUGAAAACAGGAGGAAGCUGAAUUCAGAAGUAUGGAAUGCGUUACGUGGCCUGGUUAGAGGAUGGGCAACUGAACGAAAAUACAUUGAGUGAUGGAAGGGCUGAACGCUUUGCACGAAGCGAAAUGUCUAUCGUUAACCCUUCAGCAGUCGCGUCGCAUUUCGUAACACUGGUACUGGCGUGGGGUUCGUAAAGACUAUUUUGUUAAUGCAAUAUAUCGAUAACCAAAUCAAAAAUAUUAUUCCACACUAGUAAUUACUGUUGUUAUAAAUAAUUUAUUACAAUUACGCUUAAAUUAUAAAUAAAUAAUUGAAAAAAAAUAUAUAUUUCCGCUGGAGCAAAUAAUUUAAGAUCUCUACUGUCUUUUAAGCUUCACACGAGUGUUGGAGGGUUAAGUGCACUGUUGACUGGAUCACGACGCAUCUAUGAUUUAAUUUCACAGGAUUACGUUACUUGUGGAAAUCAUUAGAGAGUACGAUAGAUACUCAUUGAGAAGAAACCAGAGAGGGACAAAUCAUUUUAAUGGAGAGUAAGAAGAUAUUGGAUAAGAAACAAUAAAAAGCCAAGGCUCGUCAUCCCCUGGCUCCGCCUCACCUCAGCACAAAACUACCCCCGAUCGAAGCAGCACCGACCCUGUCCUCGCUCAUGAAUAAAUAAAUAUUCGAUGGAAAGAUCGUAGAUCGUAUAGAUCUGCGAUAAAGGUCAAAGCAAAAGCCUCCCAAAGCCUUCCUCGAGGAACGUGGCUCGAGAGGAGUCCUAGGGGGGUCUUAGGAGUCCUGGAUGGGGUAGCUGGUAUCGCUCGUGGUAACAGGAAGGAAGUCAGUGAGUGGAACUGGAACGAGGUGGAAUUCCAAUCGCAUUCUACGAGCAAAUGACUUAAAAAAUAUUCGGCCAGAAAUGCUACCGACCUCGAAGGCGUCGCGACGCCGAUAUAAUUAUGCGGAGGUCGAUCGUCGUCUCUGCCCGAGGGUGGAGACCCGAGGACGAGGCUCCCGGCAAUGCCGAAACAGGGAUCUAAGAGAGAGAGAGAGAGAGACGACGCCCGGCGUCCCUAGACGGAACGCACCAGGUGUUAAGACAGAGACUUCGCUUGGCGGAAGGGUGACGUAAGGGCGUCGUUUUAACUCGACAAGGACAUCGGCCGCUUGGAUAUUUUUAGUCGCUCUCGAGGAUGGUACCCCUUGACAUCGUCUUCACCCUCCUGUAUCUCGUCGUAGAAACCAACCCUACGGUAGAAGCCCAACCCCAAAAAAACUUCAAACCCUCCAAUACCGACUACAUCUACACGGGCCUAUUUUAGGGUUGAAAGAUGAGCAUUAACGUGCAGCCUGAUGCCUCUCUCUAUCGUCUGUAUUUACACGCAUAGUCUUAGCAGCGAUAUAAAAGUCUCUGUAAACAGCCGUAAACUCCAUUAACGAGUGACUAAUUCCCAAUUGGCUCUUAGUCUAAUUUACCGUAUCUUCGGACAGCAUAACAAAAAUUAUGGACCUCAACUCUGUCUGUUGCCAACGAACUAUCCCAGUUGAUGAUUAAUGCAGGCAUGCGCUCAAAUACAUAGAAUUUUUAUGACAUACAAGACGAAAGUGCAGAUAUUUUUCGAGAUAUACCAGUCUCCGUUUGACGUCCUACUAAUAGUUUUCUAAGUUCAAUCAUCCCUCAGGUAUUACUGUCACUAUCCUCUUACGAGGGAUCAUAAAUGAUAGGAAGAUCGGGUGUGGAUUUCUCGAAGAUCUAGCUUCGAUCGUAUCACGAAAAGCCGAGGAAAGCCGAAAAAGCCCGAAUGAAAGUGGACAAAUUUAUUUCACCUAUAAAUACAAAGUAUUACAUUCGCGCGAGCUGUAAUUCACAGGCAAGAAGAUACAUAAGGCAAAGGCCGCGAAAUGGCAACGGUGAAAUGGUGCUGAGACUGAAACGUCGUUGGCCCAGAGGCAGAAUGGCGGAAAGUGGGAAGAAGAUGGUAGAUACGUGAU